GAUGAACGCUAGCUACAGGCUUAACACAUGCAAGUCGCGGGGCAGCAUGGGGGUUGCUUGCAAUCCCCGAUGGCGACCGGCGCACGGGUGAGUAACGCGUAUCCAACCUGCCCUUCACCACGGGAUAACCCGGCGAAAGUCGGACUAAUACCGUAUGUUGUCCAUUGACGGCAUCCGAUUUGGACGAAAGGUUUGGCGGUGAAGGAUGGGGAUGCGUCCGAUUAGCUGGACGGCGGGGUGACGGCCCACCGUGGCGACGAUCGGCAGGGGUUCUGAGAGGAAGGUCCCCCACACUGGAACUGAGACACGGUCCAGACUCCUACGGGAGGCAGCAGUGAGGAAUAUUGGUCAAUGGGCGUAAGCCUGAACCAGCCAAGUAGCGUGCAGGAUGACGGCCCUAUGGGUUGUAAACUGCUUUUAUGCGGGGAUAAAGUGGCCCACGUGUGGGUUUUUGCAGGUACCGCAUGAAUAAGAACCGGCUAAUUCCGUG
rnacentral:rRNA from 1 species